rnacentral:tRNA from 1 species
GCAUUGGUGUUUCGGUGGCAGAAUUCUUGCCUUCGAUGCAGGAGACCUGGGUUCAGAUUCCUGGCCAAUGCA